ACACUUAGGUUCAUGGUCAGCUGUGAGGAUAGAAGAGUAAUUGUAUAUUUUUAUAUAAUCCUGAGAAUUUUACUGUUUAUGGUUCAGCAAUUUUAGAAGUUCAACAGCAAACUGGGCAGAUUGUCACGUGAUAAGGUGGUCACUGUUAUGAUAAUCAGCUGAUUUCUGGCAAGUAAACCAACCGGCUGCUCAAGUCACUGCUCACUGCAGACUGCUCAGUUACAGUCUGACUCUAGGGGCAGACAGAUAUUAACUUUUCACUCCUACACACUUUCUAUGACCUCUGUGAACUACACAAAGACAGCUGGACUUUCCCGCAUCAAAAUAUACAGUUACAGCUGUACCUAUUGCUUUAUACGAAAAUGCCGUACUACUUGAAGACCGGACUAAAGGCGACUUCUGCUAUAGUUGGAAGCGCAUUUGCCUAUACACACACUCAUAAAGGAGAUGAUGCUUUGGAGAAAAACAAAGACGACGCAGGAAGAAAAGACGACCAGCAAGGUUGGAAGGGAAACAAUGGCGGCCAAGAUAUGGAUAAAAUUCAUGAAGAAACGAUUCAUCAAAUGAUGAUAUGGAAAUAGAAGACAUUUUCAGCUUUUAUCAACAACUUCCUUUUCCAGCAAAAUAAAAAUUUGUUAAUUAAAUAUAUUACACCCGAUUACAUUGCAUGUUAACGUUUUUUUCAUUCUUAAUUGGAUUGAAAAAAUAAAAAAAAUUGUCUAUCUAGAAUAACAAAAA